rnacentral:rRNA from 1 species
AACGAACGCUGGCGGCAUGCCUAACACAUGCAAGUCGAACGAGACCUUCGGGUCUAGUGGCGCACGGGUGCGUAACGCGUGGGAACCUUCCCUUAGGUUCGGAAUAACUCCCCGAAAGGGGUGCUAAUACCGGAUAAUGUCUUCGGACCAAAGAUUUAUCGCCUUUGGAUGGGCCCGCGUUGGAUUAGCUAGUUGGUAGGGUAAAAGCCUACCAAGGCGACGAUACAUAGCUGGUCUGGGAGGAUGAUCAGCGACACUGGGACUGAGACACGGCCCAGACUACUACGGGAGGAAGGAGUGGGGAAUAUUGGAAAAUGGGCGAAAGGAUGAUGAAGCAAUGACGCGUGAGUGAUGAAGGCCUUAGGGUUGUAAAGCUCUUUUACCCGGGAUGAUAAUGACAGUACCGGGAGAAUAAGCUCCGGCUAACUACGUG